UGUGGGUGUAACUUGGGUCUCGCUGAAAGAGAACUUUAUGAGUUCGGUGAGGAGGGUUGACCUGGUUGAGAGCAUCUUUUCUCUUAUACUUUGGGUGGUUAAGGUUUCUCUUGCAUAUGUUGUAUGAGUUGGAUUUGUGUCUACAUGAGUGAGGAAGAAGAAGGAGGGAGAGGAAAAAAGGGAAUUGCGGUGUUUGUGUGUUGAAGGAGAGGAGGGUUGCUAAUGAGUAUGGGGGUUUUUGUGUAGUUGUUGUAAGUGGGUUUUGGGAUAAGAAAGGGAAAGAAAAGAAGAUAGGGCGUUGAUGCAGAAGGGUUUCAACAAGGAAAUGGUUGCACACAGGAGACCUUUGCUUGUGUUUAUGAAUGUUCUUUCUACAUUUUUCGUGAAUAAGGUUUGAGAGCUUUAUUGUUAAGAAAAAAAUUUCUUUAACAAUUCUUUUGUAACAACUUGUUUACAAUGCAUACGUGGUAGCUUAUGAUUGGUUCGUUUCAAAUAUUUUUUUUUUUUAAAAUAAAUUCAAACAGAUGAAUGAAAUGGUGACACGUGUCCUCGUGUCAAAAAGUUGUUAAAAAGUAUUGUUAAAAUAUCAAAAUCCUAUUGUUAAAUAGAGAGAAAGUCUCGUAGGCCCUACCGUGGAUAACUAGUGUGGGAGGUGUUUCUUGCUAGUGUGACAUGGUGAAUCUGACAUGCAGAGGGGUUUAGUUCCGUCAUGGUCUUGCUUGGCAAAAAGAAAAGUAAAGAUAAGGUUGUAAUAAAAUAUAUAACAUACAUGUGUUAAAGUACAUGAAGGGUAUGCGUUUUCUUUGUAAAAUAGAAGUGAAUAAAUGGUUAAAUAGAAUAUGAAAAAGGUUAGAGGGUGCCAACACCCAAUUUCGUCCGG
rnacentral:lncRNA from 1 species